CCUACGGAGGCAGCAGUGGGGAAUAUUGGACAAUGGGCGAAAGCCUGAUCCAGCCAUGCCGCGUGUGUGAAGAAGGCCUUCGGGUUGUAAAGCACUUUCAGUGGGGAAGAAAGCCUUGGGGCUAAUACCCUCGAGGAAGGACAUCACCCACAGAAGAAGCACCGGCUAACUCCGUGCCAGCAGCCGCGGUAAUACGGAGGGUGCGAGCGUUAAUCGGAAUUACUGGGCGUAAAGCGCGCGUAGGCGGUCUGAUAAGCCGGUUGUGAAAGCCCCGGGCUCAACCUGGGAACGGCAUCCGGAACUGUCAGGCUAGAGUGCAGGAGAGGGAGGUAGAAUUCCCGGUGUAGCGGUGAAAUGCGUAGAGAUCGGGAGGAAUACCAGUGGCGAAGGCGGCCUUCUGGACUGACACUGACGCUGAGGUGCGAAAGCGUGGGUAGCAAACAGGAUUAGAUACCCUUGUAGUC
rnacentral:rRNA from 1 species